AUUGAACGCUGGCGGCAUGCCUUACACAUGCAAGUCGAACGGUAACAGGGACUUCGGUCCGCUGACGAGUGGCGAACGGGUGAGUAAUAUGUAGGAAUAUACCCAUAGGUGGGGGAUAACUACUCGAAAGAGGAGCUAAUACCGCAUAAUAUCUACGGAUUAAAGCAGGGGAUCGUAAGACCUUGUGCCAAUAGAAUAGCCCACAUCCGAUUAGCUAGUUGGUAGAGUAAAAGCCUACCAAGGCAACGAUCGGUAACUGGUCUGAGAGGAUGAUCAGUCACACUGGAACUGAGACACGGUCCAGACUCCUACGGGAGGCAGCAGUGGGGAAUUUUGGACAAUGGGCGAAAGCCUGAUCCAGCAAUGCCGCGUGGGUGAAGAAGGCCUUCGGGUUGUAAAGCCCUUUCGGAUAGAAAGAAAACUCUUACUCUAACAUAGUGAGAGAAUGACGGUACUAUCAUAAGAAGCACCGGCUAACUACGUGCCAGCAGCCGCCGUAACAC
rnacentral:rRNA from 1 species